AUUGCAGCAUCUGAGGGCCUCUUCAAAAGAAGAUGUAGUUGAUGAAGGCGUUCUGGAGCAGGACCAGAAAGACCACGACCAAGCAGCCUUGAGAUCUUAGGCAGCGUCUCCCUCAGGUCCCUCUCUAUCUCCCCACACAUCCACCAACCACUGGAACACAUCUCCAAAGUUCUGCCGGGCCAGCUCAGCUUCCCCUCAGAAGAAGUGCCGCCACCUGCCAGAUGAAGGAGCCUUUUGAGAGGCAGCUAGCAUCGUGAUUGGACUGUACUUUGGUCUGUUCCAAUCCAGCUUCAGCUCCAGAGACGGCAGGCGGGACGAGUCAACGGAGGCCGGGUGGACGAAGACUCCAUGGAUUUUAUGGAUGGUGGUUAAAGACCUGCUCUUCUAGUGGUCUUCCAGUCGCUGUAAAAAGUCAGUCCAUCCUGGCCG
ensembl:lncRNA